rnacentral:misc_RNA from 1 species
AGAAAUGUGAGAAGUAAUGUGAAUUGCAGAAUUCAGUGAAUCAUCGAAUCUUUGAACGCACCUUGCGCUCCUUGGUAUUCCUUGGAGCAUGCCUGUUUGAGUAUCAUGAAAUCUUCAAAGUAAAUCUUUUGUUAACUCAAUUGGUUUCUACUUUGGUAUUGGAGGUCUUUGCAGCUUCACACCUGCUCCUCUUUGUUCAUUAGCUGGAUCUCAGUGUUAUGCUUGGUUCCACUCGGCGUGAUAAGUUAUCUAUCGCUGAGGACACUGUAAAAGGUGGCCAAGGUAAAUGCAGAUGAACCGCUUCUAAUAGUCCAUUGACUUGGACAAUACUUUUAUGAUCUGAUCUCAAAUCAGGUAGGACUACCCGCUGAACUUAAGC